UACGGGGGGUGCGAGCGUUGUCCGGAAUCACUGGGCGUAAAGGGCGCGUAGGUGGCCUGAUAAGGGUGUGGUGAAAGUCCGGGGCUCAACCCCGGAUCUGCCGUGCCGACUGUUGGGCUGGAGUACUGUAGGGGCAGGCGGAAUUCCGGGUGUAGCGGUGGAAUGCGUAGAGAUCCGGAGGAACACCGACGGCGCAGGCAGCGUCCUGGCCGCUUGCUGACACUGAGGCACGAAAGCUGGGGGAGCAAACAGG
rnacentral:rRNA from 1 species